rnacentral:rRNA from 1 species
GACAGAGGGGGCAAGCGUUGCUCGGAAUUACUGGGCGUAAAGGGCGCGUAGGCGGGAUGGCAAGUCGGUCGUGAAAUCCCUCGGCUCAACCGAGGAACGUCGAUCGAUACUGCUGUUCUUGAGGAUUGCAGAGGAGACUGGAAUUCCCGGUGUAGCGGUGAAAUGGUGUAGAGAUCGGGAGGAACACCGGUGGCGAAGGCGGGUCUCUGGGCAAUUCCUGACGCUGAGGCGCGAAAGCGUGGGGAGCAAACGGG